AGUGAACGCUGGCGGUAGGCCUAACACAUGCAAGUCGAACGGCAGCACAGUAAGCGCUUGCUCUUACGGGUGGCGAGUGGCGGACGGGUGAGGAAUACAUCGGCAUCUACUUUUUCGUGGGGGAUAACGUAGGGCCACUUACGCUACUACCGCAUACGACCUACGGGUGAAAGCAGGGGAUCUUCGGACCUUGCGCGAUUGAAUGAGCCGAUGUCGGAUUAGCUAGUUGGCGGGGUAAAGGCCCACCAAGGCGACGAUCCGUAGCUGGUCUGAGAGGAUGAUCAGCCACACUGGAACUGAGACACGGUCCAGACUCCUACGGGAGGCAGCAGUGGGGAAUAUUGGACAAAGGGCGCAAGCCUGAUCCAGCCAUACCGCGUGGGUGAAGAAGGCCUUCGGGUUGUAAAGCCCUUUUGUUGGGAAAGAAAAUCAGCAGGUUAAUACCCCGCUGUUCUGACGGUACCCAAAGAAUAAGCACCGGCUAACUUCGUG
rnacentral:rRNA from 1 species